AUCCGGGUUGCGGACAGUGUCUGGUGGGUAGUUUGACUGGGGCGGUCUCCUCCUAAAGAGUAACGGAGGAGCACGAAGGUUGGCUAAUCCUGGUCGGACAUCAGGAGGUUAGUGCAAUGGCAUAAGCCAGCUUGACUGCGAGCGUGACGGCGCGAGCAGGUGCGAAAGCAGGUCAUAGUGAUCCGGUGGUUCUGAAUGGAAGGGCCAUCGCUCAACGGAUAAAAGGUACUCCGGGGAUAACAGGCUGAUACCGCCCAAGAGUUCAUAUCGACGGCGGUGUUUGGCACCUCGAUGUCGGCUCAUCACAUCCUGGGGCUGAAGUAGGUCCCAAGGGUAUGGCUGUUCGCCAUUUAAAGUGGUACGCGAGCUGGGUUUAGAACGUCGUGAGACAGUUCGGUCCCUAUCUGCCGUGGGCGCUGGAGAACUGAGGGGGGCUGCUCCUAGUACGAGAGGACCGGAGUGGACGCAUCACUGGUGUUCGGGUUG
rnacentral:rRNA from 1 species